GCAAGUCGAACGAGGUGCCUUUGUAGCAAUACGAAGGUAUCCUAGUGGCGAACGGGUGAGUAACGCGCUGGUGACCUACCCCAAAGUGUGGGAUAACAGAUCGAAAGAUCUGCUAAUACCGCAUGUGGUCUUCGGAUUUAGAAACUGAUGACUAAAGGAGCAAUUCGCUUUGGGAGGGACCUGCGUCCCAUCAGCUAGUUGGUGAGGUAAUGGCUCACCAAGGCUACGACGGGUAGGGGACCUGAGAGGGUGGCCCCCCACAAUGGAACUGAAACACGGUCCAUACACCUACGGGUGGCAGCAGUAGGGAAUAUUGCACAAUGGGCGAAAGCCUGAUGCAGCAACGCCGCGUGUGCGAUGAAGGCCUUCGGGUCGUAAAGCACUUUUCUGAGGGAUGAGCAAGGACAGUACCUCAGGAAUAAGUCUCGGCUAACUACGUGCCAGCAGCCGCGGUAAAACGUAGGAGGCAAGCGUUAUCCGGAUUCACUGGGCGUAAAGCGCGUGCAGGCGGUUCGGUAAGUUGGGCGUGAAAUCUCCUGGCUUAACUAGGAGAGGUCGUUCAAUACUACCGGACUUGAGAGUGGUAGAGGAAGAUGGAAUUCCCGGUGUAGUGGUGAAAUGCGUAGAUAUCGGGAGGAACACCAGUGGCGAAAGCGAUCUUCUGGACCAUUUCUGACGCUCAGACGCGAAAGCUAGGGUAGUAAACGGGAUUAGAGACCCCGGUAAUCCUAGCCGUAAACGAUGUAAACUUGGCGUCGGUGGCUUAAACUCCAUCGGUGCCGUAGCUAACGCGAUAAGUUUACCGCC
rnacentral:rRNA from 1 species